UACAGAGGGUGCGAGCGUUGUCCGGAAUUAUUGGGCGUAAAGAGCUCGUAGGCGGUCUGUCGCGUCGAAUGUGAAAACACGAGGCUCAACUUCGUGCCUGCAUUCGAUACGGGCAGACUAGAGUUCGGUAGGGGAGUCUGGAAUUCCUGGUGUAGCGGUGAAAUGCGCAGAUAUCAAGGAGGAACACCGGUGGCGAAGGCGGGACUCUGGGCCGAUACUGACGCUGAGGAGCGAAAGCGUGGGGAGCAAACAGG
rnacentral:rRNA from 1 species